GAUCUCAAAUGCAUGGUGCAAGGACACAAGGGCC
rnacentral:rRNA from 1 species